GAGGCGGCAUCGCUAUGGCGAGCUGUACUUAAGCAACUGAAUUUUUAUAGAAUUGUUUUACCGGAUUUACCUUCAUAACUGUAUGUAACGGUUACGUUGGAUUCUGCUCUGAGCCGUAAGGACCGAGACAGAAGG
rfam:Paenibacillus sp. FSL R5-0912, complete genome.